AAAGCAUUUUUCACUGAUAAAGUAGAGAAACAUGGUGGCUGGCGGGCAAUCCGACCGCCAUAUAAUCAUAGUGGCUGGCCGUAUUGUCCGACGAGCCACGAGUGCCUUUGGCAUAUGCCAGCGUCAGUGGCCAGUUGGUCUCGUCAUUUUAAUUUAUAUGUACUCACACAGAGCAGCACAAAUCCAAGAAAUAAGCUGUAAAAAAAUACAAUACCCCGGGGGCAGCCAAACAAAAUAUAGUAAAGCCAACCAGCCAUGGCAUCAAACUUCAUCAACGAGAUAGUGGCAAAGUUUAAAGUCCUCUUUUUCAGGACAAUGUGUCGGUGUGUUGGAAAAUUGUGAAAGUGUUGGUACUAAGGGGUCAAAUCGAGAAAGGGCAGGAGGUCGGGAGAAGAGAGUUGGAAAAGGGAUCCUAUGCACGUACAUAGUGCUAACCCCAUGGUAGUUUUAGCUGGUGUCGCCUGUUUUUUGUUUCAAUGAAGGCGAAGCUGUUGACAGACCAACAAUCGACUUGGGAAUUUUGUCACUAAAGUGCCAUCGCCAUCGUAACCACCUUAAAAACUUUGUCACAACAACAUCGGCCGAGAGCUCUCGAUUUUCAAACAGCAAUCACCCAGGAUGCUUUGAUGAUGCCUGAAACAGAAACUGGAAUACACAGGUAUACAUGAAAAACACUAUGGCCUGGACCUGCGAUGCGAAGGAGAACCGGAUCAGGCCCGGGGCUUUGAGGUUUGCUUUAAACUUUUGCUGAGCAAAUAUUUUGCCGCUUAGCUGCGUGCCGUGUGUCAUCACACUGAUUAACUUUGUCAAGUUUGCACAGCUCAGCAGAGAGACAGGAUAUGCCGGGACAUGCCGGAGCAAUGUGUGUGUCCAACAUUGACCAUUAAACGGCGACUGAGCCGUACUUAAUUACUUCAGAGAUUUUCCGCUUUUUGGAAACAAGCUGACAGUACUUUUCUUAAGCCUAAGCAUGAUACUUCAAGGUUAAUAUAGCUCUUAUCAUUUGAGGCUAGGUCAUCCCUUAAAAUAAACAGACUUACAAAAAUUGUUACACCUGUCCAGUUCUGAAAUCUACUCUGUAUUUUGGACUCGUUUAGCAUUCCGACAAUACAAAUUUUCCCCCAGAAGUGA